rnacentral:rRNA from 1 species
AUUGAACGCUGGCGGCAGGCCUAACACAUGCAAGUCGAACGAGUGGCGGACGGGUGAGUCAUGUCUGGGAAACUGCCUGAUGGAGGGGGAUAACUACUGGAAACGGUAGCUAAUACCGCAUACCAUCGGAUGUGCCCAGAUGGGAGUAGCUAGUAGGUGGGGUAACGGUGCACCUAGGCGACGAUCCCUAGCUGGUCUGAGAGGAUGACCAGCCACACUGGCACUGAGACACGGUCCAGACUCCGACGGGAGGCAGCAGUGGGGAAUAUUGCACAAUGUGCGCAAGCCUGAUGCAGCCAUACCGCGUGUGUGAAGAAGGCCUUCGGGUUGUAAAGCACUUUCAGCGGGGAGUCGUUACCCGAAGAAGAAGCACCGGCUAACUCCGUGCCAGCAGCCGCGGUAAUAC